rnacentral:rRNA from 1 species
GAUGAACGCUGGCGGUAUGCUUAACACAUGCAAGUCGAACGGGACCUUUCGAGGUUCAGUGGCGGACGGGUGAGUAACGCGUGAGAAUCUGCCUUUUGGUUCGGGACAACCACUGGAAACGGUGGCUAAUACCGGAUAAGCCUAGGGGUAAAAGAUUAAUUGCCAAAAGAGGAGCUCGCGUCUGAUUAGCUAGUUGGUGGGGUAAGAGCCUACCAAGGCGACGAUCAGUAGCUGGUCUGAGAGGACGAUCAGCCACACUGGGACUGAGACACGGCCC